AGAGGGAGCGCAGGAUCUGGGUGUGUUCCUCGGUGUCCUGGGCUCCGGGGCCUGCACUGCUGGAAUUGCGCUCCCAGGGCCGCGCAGCCGCCU
rnacentral:pre_miRNA from 1 species